UACGGGGGGGGCAAGCGUUGUUCGGAAUUACUGGGCGUAAAGGGCUCGUAGGCGGCCAACUAAGUCAGACGUGAAAUCCCUCGGCUUAACCGGGGAACUGCGUCUGAUACUGGAUGGCUUGAAUCCGGGAGAGGGAUGCGGAAUUCCAGGUGUAGCGGUGAAAUGCGCAGAUAUCGGGAAGAACACCGGUGGCGAAGGCGGCUCUCUGGGCCUGUCCUGACGCUCAGGCGCGAAAGCUAGGGGAGCGAACAGG
rnacentral:rRNA from 1 species